rnacentral:misc_RNA from 1 species
GAACGCACAUUGCGCCCAUUAGUAUUCUAGUGGGCAUGCCUGUUCGAGCGUCAUUUAGUCCACUUAAGCCUUUGCUUAGUAUUGGGAGUCUACUUUUACACUGUAGUUGUAGUUCCUCAAAGACAGCGGCGGAGUCGUGGUUUUACUCUGAGCUUAGUAAUUUUUUUCUAGCUUUCGGGUUGCCAUUGCCCCCUUGCCGUAAAACACCCUUUAUUUUUUAAUGGUUGACCUCGGAUCAGGUAGGAAUACCCGCUGAACUUAAG